UUUCCGUAGGUGAACCUGCGGAAGGAUCAUUAUUGUAUAACCGAGGUGCGAGGGCUGUCGCUGACCCGAAAGGUCGUGCACGCCCGAGUGCCCUCACACACAUCCAUCUCGCCCCUAAGUGCACCACCGCGUGGGUCCCCCUUUGGCUUGUUCGGAGGGGGGCUUACGUUUUCACACAAACUUUGUAUGCAGUGUAGAAUGUAUUUUUUGUUUUUGCGAUCACGCAAUCAAUACAACUUUCAACAACGGAUCUCUUGGCUCUC
rnacentral:misc_RNA from 1 species